UACGUAGGGGACCAGCGUUGUCCGGAUUCAUUGGGCGUAAAGCGCGUGUAGGCGGCCAGGUAGGUCCGAUGUGAAAUCUGGAGGCUCAACCUCCAGCGGUCAUUGGAAACCAUCUGGCUAGAGUCCGGAAGAGGAGAGUGGAAUUCCUGGUGUAGCGGUGAAAUGCGCAGAUAUCAGGAAGAACACCGAUGGCGAAGGCAGCUCUUUGGGACGGUACUGACGCUGAGACGCGAAAGCGUGGGGAGCGAACAGG
rnacentral:rRNA from 1 species